ensembl:lncRNA
AUGAGAAGCAAGCCUGCGCCUGCAUGGGACUCUGGGAACAGCACCGUUUGGGAGGAAUACACUGACAUCACCUUUGUGCUGGCAAACAGCUUGAUUCUGCUGGUCACCUCUGUCGUGGGGAUUGCAGCAAAUAUUUUUGUCAUACUGGCAGUUUAUCACCAAAAAUCCCUGCAAACUUCCAACAAUGCGCUGGUGGUAAAUCUUGCAGUUAUAGAUAUUCUGAGGUGUGUCAUUGACUGCCCCAUUCUCUUAACCAUCGUCGUGACUGUGUAUCAAAGGGGACAUGUGGACGAUGUGAUCUGUGACACACAAGUGGCAUCUUUCUCCUUCAGCUGCUGCAUCCAACUGUUGACACUGGCUUGCAUAAGUGCGGAGAGAUACCAGGCCAUUGCACAACCCUUCAAAACCAUUCAGAGGCGAAGACGGAUUAUGGUGCUGAUUCCUGUCACAUGGACCAUGGCUAUUGUGGUGGCUGGGUUUUGUCUGGUAUUUGUAAAGGACUCACCCGUGCAUGUGAGAUGUAAAGGUUUACAGAGAGAAACAUCAUCCUCAUAUGACACAUUUGGACUUUACAUGUUGUUCCCACUUUGGGCAGCUUGCUUUGGUGUCAUCAUUGGAUUCUAUACUCGCAUAUUUACCCUUGUGAGAUCGCACAAUCGCAAAAUAUUUGACAAAGGUAGUUUCCCUCUUUCAAAAAAAGACAAAACAGAAGAUAAUCAGAAGAAAGAAGGAACCACAGCUGUGGAAAAUAGACGCGAAAAAUCAGAGCAAAACCAAACCUUGAGCAAAAGUGUUGCUCAGGUGGAAGUAGUGACACAAGCUGAACAAAAUUCAUUGAAGAAAGAUUCCACAGCUGCUUUACUGACCUCAACAAAAGCUCUGCAAUGUGUCUCCAUCGGUUCGGAGAAUAAAACAGAAUUAAAAAAUACCCUGGAGUUAACCGACUUGGAGACAGAACAACCUCGCCCACCUGCAAUGCAGGCUGCAGCACAGACUGAGGAGAGGCCUUUAAAAACAGAGCACUCCGAUCCCUGUGCCAAGAAAGUUGAAGCAAACCCAUCAAAUGGAGAUGCUGUUGCUAGUGUUAAGAGCUCAACCACAAAGCCGCAGAAGGUGUCAAGCAAUUUCGACACAGAAAAGCAGUCCAAAGAUAGACUGGAAAUUGACAAAGCACCCUCUGAAAUGAAAGAAACCAGCCCCCAUGUUGCAUCACCUGCACAGUUAGAAACCCCUGGAUCCAAUUCUGUAUUAGUGAGUGAACUAAAACAACCUAAGAACAACGACGGGGGAGAAACGCUUGCUGUUGCUACAGUAGAUCAAGUGUCUUCAUUAACUCCAGUCUCGAAUAAAGUCCCUGAGACAGAAGCUGCAAAAGAGAAUGUGGAGGUGGAAGGUGCUGUUUGCAUGAUGCCUUCAAAAGCAAGUAAAGAGAGAGCGACAAAAAAGAAGGAAAGUAAAAUGGCUAAGCGGGCUGGCUACAUAAUUAUAACUUUCCUCUUAUUCUGGCUGCCGUUGAUCAUAACCAUCCUGAUGAAUUUUGUUGUACACAAAAACAAGAAUACACAGGUAAGUAGUUGUAGAGGUAGGGGUGCAAUUUUUACUGGCAUUUUGUAUGUGAAAAAUGUUUAA